GAUCCUGGCUCAGGAUGAACGCUAGCUACAGGCUUAACACAUGCAAGUCGGGGGGCAGCAUGGUCUUAGCUUGCUAAGGCUGAUGGCGACCGGCGCACGGGUGAGUAACACGUAUCCAACCUGCCGUCUACUCUUGGCCAACCUUCUGAAAGGAAGAUUAAUCCAGGAUGGGAUCAUGAGUUCACAUGUCCGCAUGAUUAAAGGUAUUUUCCGGUAGACGAUGGGGAUGCGUU
rnacentral:rRNA from 1 species